GAUGAACGCUGGCGGCGUGCUUAACACAUGCAAGUCGAACGGAAAGGCCUCUGCUUGCAGGGGUACUCGAGUGGCGAACGGGUGAGUAACACGUGGGUGAUCUGCCCUGCACUUCGGGAUAAGCCUUGGAAACUGGGUCUAAUACCGGAUAGGACAAUGGUUUGGGUGCUGUUGUGGAAAGUUUUUCGGUUUGGGUGUAGCUUGCGGCGUAUCAGCUUGUUGGUGGGGUAAUGGCUUACCAAGGGGUAUACGGGUAGCCGGCCUGAGAGGGUUAGCGGCCCGGCGAGAGUUGAGAGACAGAUUAGACCUGUAAGAGGGGCAACAGUAGGACGGGUGGCAGCAGGGGCGAAUGUUGGACAAAGGGAGGAAGCCUGAGUGAGCGACGUCGCGGGGGGGAUGACGGCUGUUGGGUGGGAAGCACAUUUGGCUAGGGACGAAGGGUUGUUGUGACGGUACCUGGAGAAGAAGCACCGGCUAACUACGUG
rnacentral:rRNA from 1 species